UUGACCUCAAAUCAGGUAGACUACC
rnacentral:rRNA from 2 species